rnacentral:rRNA from 3 species
CUUGUCUUGAGGGUUAAGCCAUGCACGCCUAUGCUCACCCUACACAGAAGGGGAAGCCGCGAACUGCUCAGUAUAUCGGCGAUAAUACACGGGGUGGGCGAUGUUUGUCCGGACACCUGUAGGAAUCCCAGAGCUAAUACGUGCACACGAGUCCUCCUCCUAACGGGGCAACUCGCGGGGAGAGGGCGCAUUUAUUAGGAUCUUGACCGGCGGUGGGCAGUCAACGCUGUUCACCAGGCUGAGGCGAACUCUGGGUAUGUGACGACCGCUGUUAGCGGCGUGCCCGUUUGCUCGCCGUCCCAUCAAAUUUAGACGGCCCGGGCAAGAGCCCCCCGUGUUGGCUACGGGUGACGGAGGAUCAGGGUUCGAUCCCGGAGAGGGAGCCUGCGAGACGGCUACCACGCUUAAGGGUGGCAGCAGGCGCGCAACUUACCCACUCCCAGCACGGUGAGGUAGUGAAGAUAAAUGUCGGGGCUGGGCUCGCAUGCGAGCCUAGCGGUCGGAUUGAGCGUAGACCAAACACGUGCCGUUGAUGACCUAUCGGAGGGCAA